UACGUAGGGCGCGAGCGUUGUCCGGAAUUAUUGGGCGUAAAGAGCUCGUAGGUGGCUUGUUGCGUCUGCCGUGAAAGCCCGUGGCUUAACUACGGGUCUGCGGUGGAUACGGGCAGGCUAGAGGCUGGUAGGGGCAAGCGGAAUUCCUGGUGUAGCGGUGAAAUGCGCAGAUAUCAGGAGGAACACCGGUGGCGAAGGCGGCUUGCUGGGCCAGUUCUGACGCUGAGGAGCGAAAGCGUGGGGAGCGAACCGG
rnacentral:rRNA from 1 species